CUUGAGGUCGGCGACGAUGGCGCGGAAGCCGUCGCUGCUGACGGCGGUGCGGUGGGCGUCGGCGCUGUCCCAGACGGCGAUCUCGAGG
rnacentral:tRNA from 1 species